GAUGAAGAACGUAGCGAAAUGCGAUACUUGGUGUGAAUUGCAGAAUCCCGUGAACCAUCGAGUCUUUGAACGCAAGUUGCGCCCGAAGCCAUUAGGCCGAGGGCACGCCUGCCUGGGCGUCACACGUCGUUGCCCCCCAUCUACUCCUUCGGGAUUGCGGGGGGCGGAUGAUGGCCUCCCGUGCGCCUCGUCGCGCGGUUGGCAUAAAUACCAAGUCCUCGGCGACGCACGCCACGACAAUCGGUGGUUGCGAAACCUCGGUUGCCCGUCGUGUGCGGUCGUCGCGCAUCGAGGGCUCGAAAAAAUUGCCGGGCUCCGGCUCGGCUUUCAACGCGACCCCAGGUCAGGCGGGGUUACCCGCUGAAUUUAAGCAUAUCAAUAAGCGGAGGA
rnacentral:misc_RNA from 1 species